rnacentral:tRNA from 2 species
GGAAGGGUGACCGAGCGGUUGAAGGUAGCAGUCUCGAAAACUGCCAAGGGGGCAACUCCUUCGAGGGUUCGAAUCCCUCCCCUUCCGCCA